ACACGUACUACAAUGGCCGGUACAAAGGGCAGCCACUCAGCGAUGAGGCGCUAAUCCCAUAAAGCCGGUCUCAGUCCGGAUCGCAGUCUGCAACUCGACUGCGUGAAGUUGGAAUCGCUAGUAAUCGUAGAUCAGCAUGCUACGGUGAAUACGUUCCCGGGCCUU
rnacentral:rRNA from 1 species